rnacentral:tRNA from 2 species
GGGCCUAUAGCUCAGCUGGCUAGAGCUACCGGCUCAUAACCGGUAGGUCCCAGGUUCGAAUCCUGGUGGGCCCACCA